AACGAACGCUGGCGGCAGGCCUAACACAUGCAAGUCGAGCGGAUCCUUCGGGAUUAGCGGCGGACGGGUGAGUAACGCGUGGGAAUAUGCCCUUCUCUACGGAAUAGCCUCGGGAAACUGGGAGUAAUACCGUAUACGCCCUACGGGGGAAAGCUUUCUCGGAGAAGGAUUAGCCCGCGUUGGGUUAGGUCGUUGGUGGGGUAAUGGCCUACCAAGCCUACGAUCCAUAGCUGGUUUGAGAGGAUGAUCAGCCACACUGGGACUGAGACACUGCCCAGACUCCGACGUGAGGCAGCAGUGGGGAAUCUUAGACAAUGGGGGAAACCAUGAUCUGGCCAAGCAGCGUGCGUGAUGAAGGCCUUAGGGUUGUAAAGCUCUUUCAGCUGGGAAGAUAAUGACGGUACCAGCAGAAGAAGCCCCGGCUAACUCCGUGCCUGCCGCCGCCGUAAAAC
rnacentral:rRNA from 1 species